rnacentral:rRNA from 1 species
ACGGAAAUUUUUAAAAUUUUAGUAGCGGACGGGUGAGUAACGCGUGAGGAUUUGCCUUUAGGAGGGGAGAACUAGUUAGAAAUAAUUGCUAAUGCCCCAUAUGCUUUGUAGUGAAAUGGAGUUUAUUCGCCUGAAGAGAAACUCGCGUCUGAUUAGCUAGUUGGUAAGAUAAGAGCUUACCAAGGCGACGAUCAGUAGUUGGUUUGAGAGAACGAUCAGCCACACUGGAACUGAGAUACGGUCCAGACUCC